GAUGAACGCUAGCGGCAGGCUUAAUACAUGCAAGUCGAGGGGCAGCAUGAGUGUAGCAAUACAUUUGAUGGCGACCGGCAAACGGGUGCGGAACACGUACACAACCUUCCUAUAAGUGGGGAAUAGCCCAGAGAAAUUUGGAUUAAUACCCCGUAACAUAAUGAUUUGGCAUCACAUUAUUAUUAUAGCUUCGGCGCUUAUUGAUGGGUGUGCGGCUGAUUAGAUAGUUGGCGGGGUAACGGCCCACCAAGUCUACGAUCAGUAGCUGAUGUGAGAGCAUGAUCAGCCACACGGGCACUGAGACACGGGCCCGACUCCUACGGGAGGCAGCAGUAAGGAAUAUUGGUCAAUGGACGCAAGUCUGAACCUGCCAUGCCGCGUGAAGGAUUAAGGUCCUCUGGAUUGUAAACUUCUUUUAUCUGGGACGAAAAAAGGCGAUUCUUCGUCACUUGACGGUACCAGAUGAAUAAGCACCGGCUAACUCCGUGCCAGCCGCCGCGGUAAGAC
rnacentral:rRNA from 1 species